AAAUCACAACCAAAGUCACCUCAUGACACUUUCCACUUUCUAAACCACGCUCGUCAAGUUAGUCCUCAGUGCUGAGAUGCACCACCAAUCUAUCAGGAGUGAAACGCAUGAGGGAUGCUCAGCUUUAGCCGUGGAGUUCACCGUCCAUGGUUUCGGCUGGACUCUGGUCUGAAUUUCCACACGGGAGCGCUUUCACUCUCCCUCUCGCUUCGCUGCUGCUGUCGGAGCCUCCCGGCUUAAAGAAAUGAAAGUGAGGAGCGGAGCGGAGGUAAAGGACACAGGGAGACACGACAGCGUCCAGCCCACUGUGAGGCGUUCACGUACGCCUCCGGAAAUCCUCACACUUCUGUGUCUGCAGACGCCUACUUGAAACAACCGUUUGUUCCACAGGAACUACAGACCAGCCACUGUUAGAAACCGCCCUGUUCAAAACGUCUAUCAUACAUGAAACAGGAGCCAAUAGACUGCAGUGAAAUUGGGAACGAACGGCGGUGGCCUGCAGCCGUCUGCUCGGACUCAACUUCUUUCUUCUUUUAAAUACUCCUUUUUUAAUAAAAAAAAAAAGUUCUGGAAAAAAGUCUCAGGCCAGAUGUGGAUCCUUGGCCACACCACUAAGUCAACCUACUUUUCCAAAUGCAAACAGUCAGUCCAGUCAAUAAUCUGUUAUUUGGAUGGAAAGUAUGUCUACACAGGGAAUUCCACCACAAGUGAAUAGUGAAUGAUUUUGCUGUCCUGGCUAAUGUGACAUGAUAUUUGUGCAUCGUAUUUAUACCUUUUGGUCCAUGACACAGCAGUUGAAAAUAAAGAG